UAGAACAUGCCGCCUGAUGGGUUACAUCAGGACCGCGUGUGCACCGGUAAUGAUCAUGGACAUAAGGUUAUUAUGGAUUUGUUUGCCCUGAUUGAGCAUUGCUCUCUGGGCUGAGUUCAGUUGAUUGCCGGAGUUAAGGUCCCUGAUCGAGCGAUGCUCUCUGGGCGCCGGCUUAUUUGGAAUUCAAGUGUUCAGGCUGGAGGUAAGGACCCUGAUCGAGCUUGCUCUCUAGGCGCCAGUCUUAUUGGAUUAAGAGAGCCGAAUGGCUACUAGAUUUUGGGGUUUAGGGUUCUACCGAGCCACUCGUCCCG
rnacentral:lncRNA from 1 species